GCAUGGAUAGCUCAACCAGUAGAGCACGAGACUCUUAAUCUCAGAGUCAUGGGUUUGAGCCCCAUGCUGGGCA